UCCCUGGAGGACUAGUGGUUAGGCGACAGCACUCUCACCCCCGCGACCCCGGGUUCGAUUCCCAACCAGGGCU